AUUAUCUGUCUUUCAUUCAUUUCAUUCAAGAAAAAAGAAAAGGAAACUUAGUAUAUUGCACAAUAGAACACCAAGACUAAUAUUCUAAUUAUAUAGUUUAAUGUAUAAUUAUUCUAGCUAUGUACUACAACAGGUCUAAGAUGCAUCAUCUGUAUUUCAUUCCUUUCAUUCAAGAAAAAAGAAAAGGAAACUCAGUACAUUGCACAAUAGAACACCAAGACUAAUAUUCUAAUUAUAUAGUCUAAUGUAUGAUUAUUCUAGCUAUGCACUACCACAGAUCUAAGAUGCAUCAUCUGCCUUUCACUCCUUUCAUUCAAGAAAAAAGAAAAGGGGGUGAAAUUUUGUUGGAUUUUUUUUAAGGAAAAAGUAGGAGAAGGUUGAAUUUACACAGAUUCAAUACAAAAUAAGUCUAAACUAUAAAAAGCCUAUGAACCUCACUAAAGGAAUAAUGAAAAUAACUUGCUUUCCCUUAAGGUUAGAACAUACAACAUAUCUC
rnacentral:lncRNA from 1 species